AACGGCCGCGGUAUUUUGACCGUGCAAAGGUAGCAUAAUCAUUAGUCUUUUAAUAGGAGGCUGGUAUGAAGGGUUUAACGAGCUGUUAGCUGUCUCAUUUAAUUUGAGCUUAAAAUUUAACUUUUCAGUCAAAAGGCUGAAAUAUUAUUAGAAGACGAGAAGACCCUAUAGAGCUUUAUAUUUAACUUUUUGAAUAAUUGUUGUUUAAUUAUUAUUAUUUAUGAAUUUAAGUAUUUUAUUGGGGUGAUAAAAAUAUAUAAUUAACUUUUUUAUUUAUAUAACAUUGAUUUAUGAUUUUUAGAUCCAAUCUUAUUGAUUAUUAGAAUAAGUUACCUUAGGGAUAACAGCGUAAUCUUCCUCCAGAGUUCAUAUUUACAGGAGGGCUUGCGACCUCGAUGUUGGAUUAAGAUAAUAGUUAGGUGUAGCCGCUUAAUGUAUAGGUCUGUUCGAC
rnacentral:rRNA from 1 species